rnacentral:rRNA from 1 species
CCUACGGGAGGCAGCAGUGGGGAAUAUUGGACAAUGGGCGAAAGCCUGAUCCAGCCAUGCCGCGUGUGUGAAGAAGGCCUUCGGGUUGUAAAGCACUUUCAGUGGGGAAGAAAGCCUUGGGGCUAAUACCCUCGAGGAAGGACAUCACCCACAGAAGAAGCACCGGCUAACUCCGUGCCAGCAGCCGCGGUAAUACGGAGGGUGCGAGCGUUAAUCGGAAUUACUGGGCGUAAAGCGCGCGUAGGCGGUCUGAUAAGCCGGUUGUGAAAGCCCCGGGCUCAACCUGGGAACGGCAUCCGGAACUGUCAGGCUAGAGUGCAGGAGAGGAAGGUAGAAUUCCCGGGGUAGCGGGGAAAUGCGUAGAGAUCGGGAGGAAUACCAGUGGCGAAGGCGGCCUUCUGGACUGACACUGACGCUGAGGUGCGAAAGCGUGGGUAGCAAACAGGAUUAGAUACCCCGUGUAGUC